rnacentral:rRNA from 1 species
UGCAAGUCGAACGAUGAAGCCCUUCGGGGUGGAUUAGUGGCGAACGGGUGAGUAACACGUGGGCAAUCUGCCCUGCACUCUGGGACAAGCCCUGGAAACGGGGUCUAAUACCGGAUACUGAUCGCCUUGGGCAUCCUUGGUGAUCGAAAGCUCCGGCGGUGCAGGAUGAGCCCGCGGCCUAUCAGCUUGUUGGUGAGGUAAUGGCUCACCAAGGCGACGACGGGUAGCCGGCCUGAGAGGGCGACCGGCCACACUGGGACUGAGACACGGCCCAGACUCCUACGGGAGGCAGCAGUGGGGAAUAUUGCACAAUGGGCGAAAGCCUGAUGCAGCGACGCCGCGUGAGGGAUGACGGCCUUCGGGUUGUAAACCUCUUUCAGCAGGGAAGAAGCGAAAGUGACGGUACCUGCAGAAGAAGCGCCGGCUAACUACGUGCCAGCAGCCGCGGUAAUACGUAGGGCGCGAGCGUUGUCCGGAAUUAUUGGGCGUAAAGAGCUCGUAGGCGGCUUGUCGCGUCGGUUGUGAAAGCCCGGGGCUUAACCCCGGGUCUGCAGUCGAUACGGGCAGGCUAGAGUUCGGUAGGGGAGAUCGGAAUUCCUGGUGUAGCGGUGAAAUGCGCAGAUAUCA